rnacentral:rRNA from 1 species
GAUGAACGCUGGCGGCGUGCUUAACACAUGCAAGUCGAACGGAAAGGCCCAAGCUUGCUUGGGUACUCGAGUGGCGAACGGGUGAGUAACACGUGGGUGAUCUGCCCUGCACUUCGGGAUAAGCCUGGGAAACUGGGUCUAAUACCGGAUAGGACGAUGGUUUGAAUGCAAUGGGGGAAAGUUUUUUCGGUGUGGGAUGAGCUCGCGGCCUAUCAGCUUGUUGGUGGGGUAAUGGCCUACCAAGGCGUCGACGGGUAGCCGGCCUGAGAGGGUGUACGGCCACAUUGGGACUGAGAUACGGCCCAGACUCCUACGGGAGGCAGCAGUGGGGAAUAUUGCACAAUGGGCGCAGGCCUGAUGCAGCGACGCCGCGUGGGGGAUGACGGCCUUCGGGUUGUAAACUCCUUUCGCUAGGGACGAAGCGUUUUUGUGACGGUACCUGGAGAAGAAGCACCGGCUAACUACGUG